GCGCGUUACUCAUCUUGCGGGCCGUGGUCGAGGGUAGGGUGCGCCGGCCCAUGGUUUUAGUGAUCGUACCCUAAAUACGCUGUCUUGUCAGCGAGUUUCGAAAAUGGCCGUUCUGUGUGACUAUGUGUGACGUUUUGUGGCCAUGGUGGCGGCGGCGAUGGCCCCGACGGCGGCGGUGGCCCGACCCGCGGUCGCCCGAAAGGUGGAAAGUCGCAACCACUGGGCGUCUUCACUCGCGGGGGCGGAUUUACGUAUCCGGCGCCGGAUGAUGGCGGCGGAACGACGAGCGGUGGCGGGGCUAUCGACAUUGGCUCGGAGAUCCGGACUACGCAGCCGCGUUUGACGCCUCGCACAUUAGUCGCGAUGGGGCUCCUCGAGGACGAAGCGACCCGGCGCUCGC
rnacentral:misc_RNA from 1 species